AGGGGUGUAGCUUGGUGGCACAGCACCUGCCUGGCAAACAUGAGGGCCUGAGUUUGAUUCCUGGCACCCCCC
rnacentral:tRNA from 1 species